UACGUAGGGUGCGAGCGUUGUCCGGAUUUAUUGGGCGUAAAGGGCUCGUAGGCUGUUCAGUAAGUCGGGUGUGAAAACUCUGGGCUCAACCCAGAGCGUGCAUUCGAUACUGCUGUGACUAGAGUUUGGUAGGGGAUCACGGAAUUCCUGGUGUAGCGGUGAAAUGCGCAGAUAUCAGGAGGAACACCGAUGGCGAAGGCAGUGAUCUGGGCCAAUACUGACGCUGAGGAGCGAAAGCGUGGGUAGCAAACAGG
rnacentral:rRNA from 1 species